rnacentral:lncRNA from 1 species
AACACCACUUCAGCUUCUGCCAGACAGAUGGAACUCUCCAGCAUGAAAAUCUGCGCAGCCAUUCCAACAAGCAGGGCUCUGCCUGAGGUUGUCCGAAGGAUGCCGAGGAAAAGGAUAUCAGGACUGGAAUGGCUCUUACAGCAAGAUCCAACGAUAGGGCCUUGGGAGAUGGAAAAGGAAUUAAUCUUCUCACCCUGGCGAGUUUUCCUGAAACUACUUAUCCUUAGCGUCAGCGCUGUAAGAGGUGGAGCCGCUCAGUCCCGCGGGUGGCUGCAGACAGAAGGUGGGCGAGUCCUGGGACUUAAAAAGUUUUGCAGAAGGUUGAAAAGAGGAGCAGAGGGAGAGUUUUGAGUUUAUUUAUUUUAUUUUCCUUUUUUUUUUUUUGUCUUGUGCCAAGCCCUUGAAGUUAACGUAGCGACGACGUGGUCCUUGUAGGACCAAGCAUUCUUGGCAUUCUGUCGAGAUUGAGAUUCCAGAGCAUCGGAUGAACGGGACUUAUAGCUAAGGCGUACUCACCCACCCCUCCCUUCGUCUUUUUACGCACGCAGCAACUCGUCCUCACGUGCAUAGGGGUAGUGGACAGUGUUGACUUGAAUUGCUGUCCCUCGUUCCAAGCCUUUCCUGUGAAUGAACCCGAAAACACUCGACAGGUCGUGAAUAAUCGUUUUAAUGAGUGUGCAAAGCGUGCGACGGGGUGCACCGAGCUGUCGGGUUAAACAAACAACUUGUACCCUGACCAAAUCCGAUUGUUAAAGUGCAAAGUGAUGUCAGUACCAUUUCCAUUGCCUUUCGGAAAUCCACAGAUCUGACACGCGGGAGUCCAAUUUUCCCCAUUAAAGAAAAAUAACAAUA